UGGGGAAUAUUGGACAAUGGGCGGAAGCCUGAUCCAGCAACGCCGCGUGAGGGAUGACGGCCUUCGGGUUGUAAACCUCUUUCACCGAUGACGAAGCGUGAGUGACGGUAGUCGGAGAAGAAGCACCGGCCAACUACGUGCCAGCAGCCGCGGUAAUACGUAGGGUGCGAGCGUUGUCCGGAAUUAUUGGGCGUAAAGGGCUCGUAGGCGGUUUGUCGCGUCGGGAGUGAAAACCCAGGGCUUAACCCCGGGCCUGAAUCG
rnacentral:rRNA from 1 species